GUAGGGAAUCUUCCACAAUGGGCGCAAGCCUGAUGGAGCAACACCGCGUGAGUGAAGAAGGGUUUCGCUCGUAAAGCUCUGUUGUUGGAGAAGAACGUGCGUGAGAGUAACUGUUCACGCAGUGACGGUAUCCCAACCAGAAAG
rnacentral:rRNA from 1 species